GGCGUGGGUCCUCAGUCCCCCACAACCCCUCAAGGGCCGGAAGACCUGGGCACCGCUGCCUCAUGCCCUGAGAGUGAGGACGGAAGAGGGUGCACACCCCGGGCUCUUGGAGAGGCAUCUUCGCUCUGCCCGCUGCUCUGGGUCUUGUCGCGGCGUGGGCUUUUCUCGAGCUGCGGAAUCUGACUGCCCUAGGCCCUUCACAUAAGUGGAAUCAGACGGCAUUUGUCUUAUCGAGACCGGCUCAUUGCCCUCAGCACAAUGUCCUCAACGUUCAUGUCUGUUGUAGCGUGCGUCUGAAUUUCUUCUCCUGUAUCUUUUUAAACUUUCAAUCAUGUAACGCGUCAACUAGUCAAGAAAAUCAAAGUCAUUAAGACAAAAAUACCCACUCGUUUUCCCUUUGUUUUAA